ACUGCCGCUGGAGGCAUUGAAGUUGUGACUACCAUGUCACAUGUGUGGCAGUAAGUGGCAAAGAGGCAAAAAUCUAAGUUUCCCUCAGUGUUUUCACCUGUGAACAUCUGAAUGGUCAGUAACCUUAUACU
rnacentral:snoRNA from 1 species